rnacentral:lncRNA from 1 species
UGUGGGCAGUAUGUCAGCCUUCUCCAGUGUUUCCCUCUCCCUGCUGCCCAGAGCAUAAAUAAAUAAUAAAGAAUAAACAAAAUAUGUGGUGAUCAUCCUGCAUCAGCCUUCACACCCCCCUCCCUGGUCAGGUGGAGGUCAGGAGAACAGUUGGCAUAAACUGCCCGUAAAAUGCUGAGACAGUGGCCAGAUCUUGCAAAUCUUGGAGGGAUGAGUAUAAUGAUGGCAUCUCCAAGAGAGUCCUUCUUCCCACUUCUCCUCACCUGUGCUCUAUAGGUACUAGCUUUUCCAGAGCUGGAGGGAGAUAAAAGGCUCUUUUCCAGCACGAGUACCUCACUGGGUGCUGCAGUUCAGUGCAGUGCUAAGCCUGCUGGGCACGUGGCUGACCAGCCCCAGACAAACUCUUCCCAGUCCUUGGACUACCCUGACAGACAAUCUGCAGCAUCACUUGUACAAAAACAGGAGGAGCAAGUGCUCCCUCCCUGUGCAGCCCCUGACAAAGCCAGGCAAAGCUCCUGGAUCUGCUGACUGAAGAGGUGUGAGGUCAAGCACAGGAGCUGCCCAUCCAGCCAGAUACCUUCUCCAAUAACCUGCUCAGUGGAGGAGGCACCCAGGUCCAACACCAGCUCAUUUGACUUUGCAGGUGAUUUUAUCUCUAUUUCAAAAAGAAAUGACAGCUGUUUUGUUCCUUCACUCCCGCUGAAUACUGUGGCUUAUUCCCAGCAGGUGUGCAGGAGGGAAGAUGGUUUUCCAUGACAGCAAGGCCAGAAGAACUACAGAAACUCUCUCCUCCUAAGCAGCUCACCAGUAACACUGAACAGUCCCAGAAGAGGGAAGCCAGCACGGGGCACCACCUAACGGCCACUGGAUCCCCGGCUUUGCUUCCCUGCAGUUUCCUCCCAGCUGAAAUUACAGCUAGCAGAGAAGAAAUCCAACCGUUCAACUGAGCUACCAGUUACUAAUCCUGAAAUUCGGCAGGACUGAUCAGGGCACCUGACAUUCCACAUCCAUGCACACCCACACGCUCUGAACGCAGGACUGAUCUGCAGGAAGAAAACGAAGCUCCCUGAGCCACGGGACCCUGAUGGCAACGGGCACAAGCAGGGACGGCUCUGGCCCCAGGGGCAGGGCUAGCACAGCAGCCUGAGAGCCGGAGGCCCGUGAUCCGAUAGCACUCUGUCCUAAACACUUUCUGCUUUUGUGGUUGGGCACCUGCAACACCAUGAGCAGCACAGGUCAGAACCCCCUAAUCGUUAGGAUUGUUCACAGAAUCUGUGAUGUCCCCUGAAGACAGUGAAUGUCAAGGACAGGGAGAGAAGAGCACUUCUUGUGCUGUUCUGAAAUCCAAAUACUUGUAGUUUAUCUGUUUCAAGGAGUUGAAUAACUAUAAUUUAUUCAGAUAAGUAUAAUGCCAAUCACAAUAUUUACCAGCAGAAUCUGUUACAAAUACAGGGAGAGUGUGGAGUUAGGAGAGACAGUCUAAAGAGCAAGUUCUAGUAACACACCUAGGAAGAAAUUUAUUCUGUGCACGCUUCCCUUCAGCUUUAGAUAAACCACUGGUUUAUAGCAUGGUCAUGGGAAAUUCAGAGAUUCCUCAUUUUCUGUGGACAUUGGCAAGGCACAAUUCAAAUCCUGCAGGUUUGCCAGCUUGCUAUACACACCUGUACAGGAAAGUUUGCCCCAGUUUAAAG